rnacentral:rRNA from 1 species
UACAGAGGUCUCAAGCGUUGUUCGGAUUCAUUGGGCGUAAAGGGUGCGUAGGCGGCGCGGUAAGUCGGGUGUGAAAUCUCGGAGCUUAACUCCGAAACUGCAUUCGAUACUGCCGUGCUUGAGGACUGGAGAGGAGACUGGAAUUUACGGUGUAGCGGUGAAAUGCGUAGAUAUCUGGAGGAACACCGGUGGCGAAGGCAGCCAUCUGGACCGACACUGACGCUGAGGCGCGAAAGCGUGGGGAGCAAACAGGG